rnacentral:lncRNA from 1 species
AAAUUUACUCAUGCGACCAAUCCCAUUGAAAUCAAUAGGACUGCUUGCUUGUGUGAGAAAAGUUAAUCAUGUGUACAUUCUUACAGGAUCAGGCCCUAUAAUAACUAGUAAUUGCUUCAUUUUUAUUAUUUACACUCUCUUUCCAUGGUCUUUAGUAAAGUAUAUAUUUUACUCAGAUGAGUAAAAUCUGUGUUUUAGCAGCACCUGCACAAGGAUAGUUAUGAUGGGGGGCAUUCUGCUUCCGAACAUAAACUAAUCAUCAGAUAGGAUCAGGAAGAAAUGAUGAUACUGAUAAAGUAUUGCACAAUAAGUUGCAUUAUGGGGCAUUCUCAGAAGCCUCUAGCAUUGGAAACUGACAAAGAUAGGGUACCAGAUGCUUUUGGGCAUUAGCCUGUUCAGGUAUGGCAGUUCCUCUGCUCUUCUGUCAUCCAGAUUGUUGAAAUGGCUAAAGCCACACCACAUCCCAGAUUUUUAGUGUCUGCAAAGCUAAGCUGGCAUUUUGUGAGGACAAGCUCUGUGUAUUCCCAGGACAUUUCUAGUAUCUCCUGCUUCAAAAACAGCUGCUCUGGUGGUAUUUUUAGCUCUUCUCAUGAUAUUUUCAUUUCUGGUCCUGGUCAGAAGUGUAGAGGCAUGUGAAAAUGAAAAAUACUAGGAAAAAUAAAUAGUUCCCUGAGUGUGUUUGAGUCUACAAAGUGUUCCUCCUGGGCCAGAGAUUCAGGUCGGAUCUUACUUUUUCCAAAUCCACAGUUACCAUUUCCUGUUUGUACCCAUCAUCCUCAUAUUUUGUUUCUGCUGGGGGAGGGUAUCAAAAGAGAUGGUAAAAUGUGGAUUAAUGCUAGAUAUAAAAAUAAUCCCAAUGUUGUUUCACUCUCUAGUCACCAUAGCAAAAUGAAAAUGUUGAUUUUUUUAUAUGUACAUAGGAUUAAAUCUUGCCCCCACUUCCCUCUAUCAUAGUAAUGGGCAUGAGUGCCAUGGAACAAGGUACAUUUAUGUUGUGCAGGCAGAGGUGUCCUGUAGAGAACGUACCUUACAAGCACUGCUGUGGUCCUUCUACUCCAGUAUGUUGGGGAGUGCUGAGAGUGGGGCAGGUUGGGGAAGGAUCAGAAUUGGGGCCAAUGUGAGUAUAUGGCCAUAUUGCAGGGCUGUGGGGAGACAACAGCUGCGGCUGCUACCACCGUAGUGGCUGUGGAGCACAGCCUAGGAAGAAGAGACUGGUUAUUUGGAUUGUACACUGGGUCAGGAGGCUCUCCAAAUAGAGUAAUUGGUGAAAUGUAAACACAAAAUAAAUUAAUAAGGAUCCUAACUGCUCA